rnacentral:lncRNA from 1 species
UACGAUGUUACCAGGGAAAUCAGACGUGGUGGUGUCAACAGAUACUGCAGGAGCUCAUCCUCCAUCAGAGCAGAGCUCAGAAGCUCAGUGCAGACCCACACAGCAACCGGCAGCGAUAAGAAUAAAUGCCAUUUGGAGAAGAAAACCAUCCUACCCACGCGGAGGGAGGGGGGCCUGGCAGGGACAUGCAGGUACCACCCACUGCUGCAAGCACUUGGCACGUGUUCCCAGAGACAUUCAAACAUGUACCAAAGAGCUUCUCCUGUCUGAGCAGUCAGUGCAUCCUUACAGACCUCCCUACAAUUGGAGCCCCUCAGGGUGUUUGCAAUGUAGCCCUGCAUCCUUUCCAACAGCAAAUGUUUCUGUGAGAGAGAAUUACUCUUCCAAAAUGACAUUUUCAGGAUCUUUUAAGAAAGUGGUUUCAUGAAGCUCGAUUUUUUUUCUUCCCGCAUUUAUUUGCAUUUUUAAAACGGUGGCAUUUAGGGGUGUUGUUUUGAAAUAUAUGUCAAUCCCAUCACAUCACCCCACUUAAGGAUCAGAAGCGCUGCAGUGAAAACCCUCAUAGAAAACACCCCAAGUGAAAGCAUACCAAGGAAACACAAGCUUCGGAUCGAGGAAAGGAAUCAAAGUGUCUUAUUCAUCUACCAACCUGUAGUCAUUGCUCAAGCAAAAGCUGUUUGAAAACCAGAAGCACAAAGAGUCUCACGGGAGCGUGUUGGUUGUGGAGAGCAAUGCGGGAUGUUUGGCCACAUCCCGAACUCGGCGUGAUGUCAGGGAGCUUUUGGCUUUGGGCAUCUGCCUGUAGACACCUCAACGUGGAGGCGAUGUUUCAGCACUCAGGGAGAGCUCACAGCAGUUUGGCCAAUCUGAUAAAGGAGAUGAAUCAUUCUGGAGUCAUCUGCUGCUAAAAUGAACCCAUCACAUAGAUGACAUGAGUGUCCUGAGAGAUGGUACAGCAGAGAACCCUUCUGUUGGUUUUAUGGGCCUGCAUCCGAGCGAGGUGGGUACCUUUCUGGGAUGGAACACACUUUGUUCAAAACUACUUCCACCCUUAAUGAACUUCCCAUAAGCAAAGUUUCCUGGCACAGAACUUUCCUUGUAGCUGUAAUUUGUCCGUGAACACUUUGUAUGCUAGAGUCUGGAAUAAAACACCCCUGUGCCAGAAAGAGACAAAUUUCAUCUGGCAGCGUGGGCUGCAUCACAAAUGUAUGCUGUUUGUAGGAAGAGAGGACCAAAGUGCACCUAGAAAGCAAUCGGUGCAACUGUUGACCCGUUCAUGAUCUAUCCCUGAUCAUCUCAUUUAAUCCAAAUCAAGCAUAAAACUUGGAAACACCUGAAGAAAUUCUUCAGUAAGAAGACUGAAUGCUGGCUGCCUAAACUCAAACACAACGGGACUCGUUAGAGCUGCAGGGCAAAGCCCCAUGGAUUUGGAAGUAACAAGAUGAGAACUCAUUGUAUGGAAAGAUCUGAGACUGCAACCCAAGACAUCCUCCCUCACGUUCUCAAGAACUUCCCCACAUGUUGGCAGUCUCAUGGUCCGUAUUUCAGAAGGGACAAGCAGACUGCGUAGACCUUCCAUCUCAUUUGGGCCAUGCACCUACUGACCACACGCCUGGCCAAGAGAGCUGUUGUGAAGUCAUCUACUUCAGACCCUGGAGACCUCUUCAGUAGGAGAUACCAUUUCCCAAGGAAUCUGUGCCUAGAUUUAACCACUGCUAAAAUGUGAACCUUAGUUCUGGACAAUACCAACAGCAAGCUGUCUGAAUUACCCCUUCCCUCUGAAUUAAGUCUGAGUACUAUUAUA